ACGAACGCUGGCGGCGUGGAUAAGACAUGCAAGUCGAACGAGAGAAUUGCUAGCUUGCUAAUAAUUCUCUAGUGGCGCACGGGUGAGUAACACGUGAGUAACCUGCCCCCGAGAGCGGGAUAGCCCUGGGAAACUGGGAUUAAUACCGCAUAGUAUCGAAAGAUUAAAGCAGCAAUGCGCUUGGGGAUGGGCUCGCGGCCUAUUAGUUAGUUGGUGAGGUAACGGCUCACCAAGGCGAUGACGGGUAACCGGUCUGAGAGGAUGUCCGGCCACACUGGAACUGAGACACGGUCCAGACACCUACGGGUGGCAGCAGUCGAGAAUCAUUCACAAUGGGGGAAACCCUGAUGGUGCGACGCCGCGUGGGGGAAUGAAGGUCUUCGGAUUGUAAACCCCUGUCAUGUGGGAGCAAAUUAAAAAGAUAGUACCACAAGAGGAAGAGACGGCUAACUCUGUGCCAGCAGCCGCGGUAAUACAGAGGUCUCAAGCGUUGUUCGGAAUCACUGGGCGUAAAGCGUGCGUAGGCUGUUUCGUAAGUCGUGUGUGAAAGGCGCGGGCUCAACCCGCGGACGGCACAUGAUACUGCGAGACUAGAGUAAUGGAGGGGGAACCGGAAUUCUCGGUGUAGCAGUGAAAUGCGUAGAUAUCGAGAGGAACACUCGUGGCGAAGGCGGGUUCCUGGACAUUAACUGACGCUGAGGCACGAAGGCCAGGGGAGCGAAAGGGAUUAGAUACCCCUGUAGUCCUGGCAGUAAACGAUGCACGCUUGGUGUGCGGGGAAUCGACCCCCUGCGUGCCGGAGCUAACGCGUUAAGCGUGCCGCCUGGGGAGUACGGUCGCAAGAUUAAAACUCAAAGAAAUUGACGGGGACCCGCACAAGCGGUGGAGUAUGUGGCUUAAUUCGAUGCAACGCGAAGAACCUUACCUGGGCUUGACAUGUAAUGAACAACAUGUGAAAGCAUGCGACUCUUCGGAGGCGUUACACAGGUGCUGCAUGGCCGUCGUCAGCUCGUGUCGUGAGAUGUUUGGUUAAGUCCAGCAACGAGCGCAACCCCUGUUGCCAGUUACCAGCACGUGAAGGUGGGGACUCUGGCGAGACUGCCCAGAUCAACUGGGAGGAAGGUGGGGACGACGUCAGGUCAGUAUGGCCCUUAUGCCCAGGGCUGCACACGUACUACAAUGCCCAGUACAGAGGGGGCCGAAGCCGCGAGGCGGAGGAAAUCCUAAAAACUGGGCCCAGUUCGGACUGUAGGCUGCAACCCGCCUACACGAAGCCGGAAUCGCUAGUAAUGGCGCAUCAGCUACGGCGCCGUGAAUACGUUCCCGGGUCUUGUACACACCGCCCGUCACAUCAUGGAAGCCGGUCGCACCCGAAGUAUCUGAAGCCAACCGCAAGGAGGCAGGGUCCUAAGGUGAGACUGGUAACUGGGAUG
rnacentral:rRNA from 1 species